CGUCACGGGGGAAGCGGAUCGCGUUGGAUUGAUGGGCGCUUGCGUGUUCAGCCCUUUGGGUGCAUUGGCGCAAGUUGCUUAUCCGCUGUGAGUUUUCGGGGGUCGAUUUUGGACCCCUGGGGACUGAGGGCUCCCUUUUACAGGUGAGGACAGCGGAGUGACGACGCGAUACGACCCGUCUUGAAACACGGACCAAGGAGUCUAGCGCGGGUGCGAGUCGGAGGGUGCAAGCCCGUGGGCGAAGUGAAAGCGAGUGUAAAAACGAGCAGUUUGGGGCGGCAUAAGAUCGUUGAUCUUAAGACCGACCCAGAGCAGUUGCGCUGGGACCCGAAAGAUGGUGAACUAUGCCGGAGUAGGGCAAAGCCAGAGGAAACUCUGGUGGAGGCUCGUAGCGGUGCUGACGUGCAAAUCGCUCGUCGAACUUGGGUAUAGGGGCGAAAGACUAAUCGAACCAUCUAGUAGCUGGUUCCCUCCGAAGUUUCUCUCAGGAUAGCGGGCCGACAAGUUGUUUUGUGCGGUAAAGCGAAUGAUUAGCGCAUUUCGGGGGCGUUUAGCCUUUGGGCGAUUCUCAAACUUUCAAUGCGCAAGGGUGCCGCUGCUUAAUUGAGCGGUACCGGUAAAAACGUCGGCCCUGUGGGCCACUUUUGGUAAGCAGAACUGGCGAUACGGGAUGAACCGUAAGCAUGGUUAAGGCGCCAAACUGCCCGCUUAUA
rnacentral:rRNA from 1 species